AGGACAUGGGCGGGGACAAAUAAGGGAAUAAAAGCUGGCCGCCCGGAAACCCGCAGCUGCAAUCGGCUCUGGUUCUUUUCGGUGCUGUGGAUGCUUUGUUUUUUCGCUCUUCACAGUAAAUCUUGCUGCUGUAUAUUCUUUGGGUCCAUGCCACCUUUCAGAUGUAACACUCACCCUGAAAGUCCGUGGCUUCAUUCUUGAAAUCAGCGAGACCACGAACCCACCGGAAGGAACCAACUCUGGACACAGUGGCAUUAUCUCGGCUCUCUGCAGCCUCUGCCUGUUGGGUUCAAAUGAUUCUCCUGCCUCAGCCUCCCAAGUAGCUGGGACUACAGGUGUGUGCUAGCACACCUGGCUAAGUUUUGUAUGUUUAGUAGAAACGGGUUUCACCAUAUUGGCCAGGCUGGUCUUGAACUCCAGACCUCGAGUGAUCCGCCGGCCUCAACACCCCAAAGUGCUGGGAUUACAGGCGUGAGCCACCACACCAGGCUGAGAUCUGACGGUUUUAUAAGGGGCUUUUCCCCCUUCUGCUUGGCACUUCUCCUUAGUGCCACCGUGUGAAGGAGGAUGUGUUUGCUUUUCCCUCCGCCAUGAUUGUAAGUUUCCUGAGGCCUCCCAGCCCUGCAGAACUGCUUAUCCAAAUCCCUUGGGCUCAUUGAAGGUUAUGGUGGGCGGGGUAAAGGGGGCCUUCCGGCUACUCUUUCCCCGGCUGAAGAAGAAAAGGCUAAGGGACCCCAUGAGAAGUAUGGCUACAAUUCCUACCUCAGUGAAAAAAUUUCACUGGACCGUUCCAUUCCGGAUUAUCGUCCCACCAAGUGUAAGGAGCUCAAGUACUCCAAGGACCUGCCCCAGAUAUCCAUCAUAUUCAUCUUCGUGAACGAGGCCCUGUCGGUGAUCCUGCGGUCCGUGCACAGUGCCGUCAAUCACACACCCACACACCUGCUGAAGGAAAUCAUUCUGGUGGAUGACAACAGCGACGAAGAGGAGCUGAAGGUCCCCCUGGAGGAGUAUGUCCACAAACGCUACCCCGGGCUGGUGAAGGUGGUGAGAAAUCAGAAGAGGGAAGGCCUGAUCCGCGCUCGCAUUGAGGGCUGGAAGGUGGCCACUGGGCAGGUCACUGGCUUCUUUGAUGCCCACGUGGAAUUCACCGCUGGCUGGGCUGAGCCAGUUCUAUCCCGCAUCCAGGAAAACCGGAAGCGUGUGAUCCUCCCCUCCAUUGACAACAUCAAACAGGACAACUUUGAGGUGCAGCGGUACGAGAACUCGGCCCACGGGUACAGCUGGGAGCUGUGGUGCAUGUACAUCAGCCCCCCAAAAGACUGGUGGGACGCCGGAGACCCUUCUCUCCCCAUCAGGACCCCAGCCAUGAUAGGCUGCUCGUUCGUGGUCAACAGGAAGUUCUUCGGUGAAAUUGGUCUUCUGGAUCCUGGCAUGGAUGUAUACGGAGGAGAAAAUAUUGAACUGGGAAUCAAGGUAUGGCUCUGUGGGGGCAGCAUGGAGGUCCUUCCUUGCUCACGGGUGGCCCACAUUGAGCGGAAGAAGAAGCCAUAUAAUAGCAACAUUGGCUUCUACACCAAGAGGAAUGCUCUUCGUGUUGCUGAGGUCUGGAUGGACGAUUACAAGUCUCAUGUGUACAUAGCGUGGAACCUGCCGCUGGAGAAUCCGGGAAUUGACAUCGGUGAUGUCUCCGAAAGAAGAGCAUUAAGGAAAAGUUUAAAGUGUAAGAAUUUCCAGUGGUACCUGGACCAUGUUUACCCAGAAAUGAGAAGAUACAAUAAUACCGUUGCUUACGGGGAGCUUCGCAACAACAAGGCAAAAGACGUCUGCUUGGACCAGGGGCCGCUGGAGAACCACACAGCAAUAUUGUAUCCGUGCCAUGGCUGGGGACCACAG
rnacentral:sRNA from 1 species